rnacentral:rRNA from 1 species
AGCUCCAAUAGCGUAUAUUAAAGUUGUUGCGGUUAAAAAGCUCGUAGUUGGAUUUCUGUUAGAGGCGGGCCGUCCGCACUAUGUGCGUGUAUGUGUUACGACUCCGACAUCCUCAUGAAGGACAGUGCUGGGAUUAAUUUUCUGGUCUGGAAUUCAUGACUUUUACUUUGAGGAAAUUAGAGUGUUCACGGCAAGCAAACGCUUUGAAUACAUUAGCAUGGAAUAAUAAUAUAGGACCUUGGUACUAUUUUGUUGGUUUCUAGAACUAAGGUAAUGAUAAAUAGGGACAGUUGGGGGCAUUCGUAUUAAGACGUCAGAGGUGGAAUUCUUGGAUUGUCUUACGACGAACUACUGCGAAAGCAUUUGCCAAGGAUGUUUUCAUUGAUCAAGAACGAAAGU